UGUCUGCAGAAAUCUAAAAGCCACCCAGGCCACCAACUUAAUUAUAUCCAGGAUGCGCACCAGAGGUGAAAAGCCUCCUAGAACUGUUUUUCAAUCAUCAUCUCUCCAACUGAGCUGGACUAGUGACACUAAAACCAGCAAUUAAAAGCCUCAAUUCAAAUGCAUCCUGUUAAAGAGCCAUGGGUGAUUAGAUCAUAAAUCUGCAUGACCUUGAAGAUGAUGAAGGAAAUAAUUUUCUUUACUGGGUCUUUAAUGGUGAAAUAAACAGGAAAGAAGAAAAGGCAAGAAAUAAAUUUUACUGUGCUAUGCUUGGGAAAACCAUGUUUUCCAAUUUAUUCUUCACACAACAAAACCUAUUUGAUCUGAGAUACAGCCUAAUCCAAGCAUGAUGACUUUCCAUUAAUCUGUGAUGGGGUUUUAUUUCUUUAUUAUGAGCUAAAUGUGUAAACGCAUAAGAAUUAGCAAAGCCAUUUUGGCACGAUUUAAUUCUCAGGGCUCCCUCUGCUGGUAGUGAAAGAUGACAAAUUUACAGAGAGCUUAAGAAUGAGGGCAAUACAAUUAUUACCACAAUUUUGCCAUUUAUAUUAGAUCUAAAU
rnacentral:lncRNA from 1 species